GAGUUUGAUCCUGGCUCAGAUUGAACGCUGGCGGCAUGCCUUACACAUGCAAGUCGAACGGUAACAGGGACUUCGGUCCGCUGACGAGUGGCGAACGGGUGAGUAAAGCAUAGGAAUAUAUCCAUUAGUGGGGGAUAACGCAUCGAAAGGUGUGCUAAUACCGCAUACACUCCACGGAGAAAAGCAGGGGAUCGCAAGACCUUGCGCUAAUGGCUUAGCCUAUGUCCGAUUAGCUAGUUGGUAGAGUAAAAGCCUACCAAGGCGACGAUCGGUAACUGGUCUGAGAGGAUGAUCAGUCACACUGGAACUGAGACACGGUCCAGACUCCUACGGGAGGCAGCAGUGGGGAAUUUUGGACAAUGGGGGAAACCCUGAUCCAGCCAUGCCGCGUGGGUGAAGAAGGCCUUCGGGUUGUAAAGCCCUUUCGGGAGGAAAGAAAAACAUUGCUCUAACAUAGUAAUGUCAUGACGGUACCUCCAUAAGAAGCACCGGCUAACUACGUGCCAGCAGCCGCGGUAAUACGUAGGGUGCAAGCGUUAAUCGGAAUUACUGGGCGUAAAGCGUGCGCAGGCGGUUAGAUAAGCCAGAUGUGAAAUCCCCGAGCUCAACUUGGGAAUUGCGUUUGGRACUGUUUAACUAGAGUUUGGCAGAGGGGGGUAGAAUUCCACGUGUAGCAGUGAAAUGCGUAGAGAUGUGGAGGAAUACCGAUGGCGAAGGCAGCCCCCUGGGCUAAAACUGACGCUCAUGCACGAAAGCGUGGGGAGCAAACAGGAUUAGAUACCCUGGUAGUCCACGCCCUAAACGAUGUCAACUGGUUGUUGGGAGGGUAAACCUCUUAGUAACGAAGCUAACGCGAGAAGUUGACCGCCUGGGGAGUACGGUCGCAAGAUUAAAACUCAAAGGAAUUGACGGGGACCCGCACAAGCGGUGGAUUAUGUGGAUUAAUUCGAUGCAACGCGAAAAACCUUACCUACCUUUGACAUGUCGAGAAUCCUGCAGAGAUGCGGGAGUGCCUUCGGGAACUCGAACACAGGUGCUGCAUGGCUGUCGUCAGCUCGUGUCGUGAGAUGUUGGGUUAAGUCCCGCAACGAGCGCAACCCUUAUCAUUAGUUGCUACGCAAGGGCACUCUAAUGAGACUGCCGGUGACAAACCGGAGGAAGGUGGGGAUGACGUCAAGUCCUCAUGGCCCUUAUGGGUAGGGCUUCACACGUAAUACAAUGGUCGGUACAGAGGGUAGCCAACCCGCGAGGGGGAGCCAAUCUCAGAAAGCCGAUCGUAGUCCGGAUUGCAGUCUGCAACUCGACUGCAUGAAGUCGGAAUCGCUAGUAAUCGCGGAUCAGCAUGCCGCGGUGAAUACGUUCCCGGGUCUUGUACACACCGCCCGUCACACCAUGGGAGUGGGUUUCACCAGAAGUAGUUAGCCUAACCGCAAGGAGGGCGAUUACCACGGUGAGAUACAUGACUGGGGUGAAGUCGUAACAAGGUAACCGUAA
rnacentral:rRNA from 1 species